rnacentral:rRNA from 1 species
CAAUAGCGUAUAUUAAAGUUGUUGCAGUUAAAAAGCUCGUAGUUGGAUUUCUGGUGGGAGCGAUCGGUCUGGCGCUUAGCGCGAGUACUUGCAUCGACUCCGGCCAUCCUUGGGGAGAGUCUGUCUGGCAUUAAGUUGUCGGGCAGAGGAUCCUCAUCGUUUACUGUGAAAAAAUUAGAGUGUUCAAAGCAGGCUUAUGCCGUUGAAUAUAUUAGCAUGGAAUAAUAAGAUAGGACUUUGGUACUAUUUUGUUGGUUUGCGCACCAAAGUAAUGAUUAAUAGGGACAGUUGGGGGUAUUCGUAUUCCGUUGUCAGAGGUGAAAUUCUUGGAUUUACGGAAGACGAACUACUGCGAAAGCAUUUACCAAGGAUGUUUUCAUUAA